UACGAAGGGGGCUAGCGUUGCUCGGAAUGACUGGGCGUAAAGGGCGCGUAGGCGGCGCAGUUAGUCAGGCGUGAAAUUCCUGGGCUCAACCUGGGGACUGCGCUUGAUACGGCUGUGCUUGAGGAUGGAAGAGGCUCGCGGAAUUCCCAGUGUAGAGGUGAAAUUCGUAGAUAUUGGGAAGAACACCGGUGGCGAAGGCGGCGAGCUGGCCCAUUACUGACGCUGAGGCGCGACAGCGUGGGGGAGCAAACAGG
rnacentral:rRNA from 1 species